GGGCGGGGGCAAAUUAGGGUUCCAUAGGAAGAGAGAAGCAUCAGGUAAUCGAACUCACUAUUCUCCGACUCCUUCCUCCGCACCAUUGGCCAGUAGGACACGAUCGCGGAGAUGGGCUAGGUCUACUCCCACAGCCUCUUGCCUCAGCUUAUCGCCUUCAUCCUUUACUGCCCAAUGCAGUGGUUUCUGCAGGCCUAGAACAUCAUCAACCCCAUGGCCAUCAUCACCAUCAUCGUUCUCCUCUUCAACAUCCUCAUCUACUAGCUCACUGUCUUCGUCCUUGACUUUGGACACCUUGGCGCCUCCAUCACUCUCAGCAUCUCUUAGUGGGUGCUCAUCCUCUCCACCUAGUUCUACAUCAUCCUCAGCCCUUCCUGCAGGCCACCUGGACCGACCUCUUCAUCAAGGCCUUCACCGACAUCUGGCUCUUUUUCAAACUCACUAUUUCAUUAGCCAUCAUGCUCGUGUAAGUCAACCCCCCAACUUCCACACCCUCUUUUCCUCUUCCCCUUCACUCAAACAUUCAUCAUAGCUUAGAGGUUUGGUACGUCCAAGGUUUCAUGCCGAUCACAAGCUACCUCCCAUAUCCGGAGAUCUCACUCGAUGUCAUAUCUAUAUGGUAAUCAAUGAUGAUACAACUUAUCAAUUCCUCACUAACAGUGUGAUCGAUUCCAGUGUGAAUUACUGGAACUGGGACUUCAUGAUCAUGCUCGGCUUGAGCAAUGCUGCAAGAUUUGACGACUACCGCACUUGUAUUAAUCUCCAUGAAUUAUUCACUAACAACCAAAGGCUGUUUAUUACAGUGUGAGGAUAGGGAACGAGUUGUGAGCUGCUCAUCCUCGAGUCACUAAGUUUGUAGUCCUUGUCAUGGUGGCGACCAACUUGAUCCUUAGCUUGAUUAUCAGUAUGUUGGUCCUCGUACUACACAUGCCCUUGAGCAAGCUCUACACCAGCAGUUUUGAGGAACUUGGUAUUGACGUGAAUCUAUAUGCCUUGGUAUUUGGAGAGUCAGUUUUAAAUGAUGCAGGGUGAUAUGCUACUCACUCAGGAGAAUGAGGAUACUAUGGUUCAUGAAGGAGAUGCGGUAGCAAAGUUGGAGAUGAAGACAUUGAGGCUGGUGAUAGUUUCUCGACAUCAAAUUAUAAAUAUGAAGCUGGAGAUGAAGGCUAAGAUGGAAGUCUUGAGAACGACAUGAACACUUGUCGCUAGUGGAAUACUUGGAUGCAUAUUAGAUUAACGUAGUGUUGAAAUAAUAUUGACAGUAAAAUCUUUGAUUGUUAGAAAUUCAUGAUUUUUUGUACUUGAUUUAGAGAAAUUUGUGAGUUUGUAAAAUAAUUAUU